UAUUAGUUACUUUUCUGUUUCUUGAAACAAGGUGAGGGGGAAAAAUCGUGAAAUCCUGAGUCCCGACGCCCUACCCUCUCCUAUCUCCCUACAGCUCUCCACAAGCUACAACUCUCCACAAAGCUCGGUGACCAUGUCUGCUCUCUUGCGAAGCUUCGGCGAUUGUCUCUGCUCUCUCUCGAAACUCAGCAUUCUCUGCUCUCUUGCGAAGGUCGACGUUCUCUGCUCUCUCUCUCUCUGUCUCUCGUCAAGCAACGGAGAUUUGCAGCGACAAGUAUGAUCGUCAAGCUCAGUUGACAGAACAUGGCAUCACAUUUCAUCUCAUACGAGUUGGGAUAAAGGGAGAAACUGUAUUAGUGGGAUGUGUUUAAUCUUGUAAUUCUCUUUGCCUCCAUCAAAGAUCUGGGUGCAAGGGAAUCACCUUCAGUUCUUUUAGAGUGGUGACAUAUUGCAAUCCUUGUGGAAGACUCAUCAACUAUGGACAAUCAGGCAGAUCACAGAUUUCUCACUAUUGUGAUGAAUACAUACUGAAAAUUUGAUUAGUUUUUCAUGCAGGAAGCAGCAGUAGAUUAGUUUUUAAUUGUUAUGACCCCCGUAUUCAUACAUUUACAACUCUAUGGCCCGCAUAAAAACUCUAUGGCCUGCAUAUGAUGCUGGUGCACAUAGAUGUUUUUCUUGAAAAUAAUAGAUCCAUAAAACUAAAAAGGGAAAAGGGAAGGAGUCCAAGAAAAUAAUAUACUAGAGGAAAGAAAAUGAGGUUCAUGUAUAUAAACUAUUUAAUUUGUUUGUCAUGUCCUUGACUCCAUGUUAAGAUUAUAUUUUCUAUUAUUGUGAAUUCAUCUAUUUUGGUGAGUUAUUUUGUAGUAGUUACCUUUUAUAUUUGUUGCAAGAAAUAGGAUUCUUGCUGAUAUUUUGUUUCCAUUUAUUGCUAUUGUUUCACUCACUUUGGAAAUUUUGGUUAUUUCUUUUGAGAGAUUUCCUUUUGUCAUUGUUGAAUGCCAGUAUGUGAAUGUUCAAUAUGCAUAUCCGAUUGUGAGCUGAUGAUUCUUGACUUUAACAUGAUUAAUGUUUCUUUUAUGUAGACAAUAUGUCAUAUAGUGGAAACCCUACUCCCGCUCCAACCACAACCACAACCACAACCACAAUCCUUUGGAAUGCUUCUGAAUUGAACAUAUUCAUCAACUUAAUGAUUGAUAAUGUAAGAAAUGGUUAGAAGUCCAACUCCACAUUCAGUAAGGUUGGGUGGAAUAACAUUAAAGCAGGAUUAGAAGCAACUUUCCAACGUCCAUUUUGAAAAGAGCAGUUGUGUAAUAAAAUGAAUAAGCUAUGAGGUGACUAUAAUAGUUUUAGGCAGUUGCUCGAAACUACGGGAUUUGGAUGGGAUUCAAAUACCAGGACUGCUACAGCUACAGAUUCUGUUUGGGAAAAUGCUAUAAAGGAAAAUCCAAAUUGGACCAAAUUCUGAAAGAGUGGACUUCCAUGGUGGCCAAAGUUGUUAGAGGUCUUCUCAGACUCAAGUGCUCGAGGAGAUAGAGGAGUAUCUCAAUAUACUGCUGGGAAGCAAAAGUCCAUUGACAUUGAUCUUGGUUGUGAGGAUGAGAAUGAUACACAUAAUUCCUCUAAAGAUUUAGUAGGUCUGGAUGAUAUAGAGCUUACAGAUGUUGACGAAGUGGCCAAUCAUUCUACAACAAAGCGGAAGCGUGAUAGAACUCCCAUAGACUGAAGGAAGAAGAGUACAACAAAAGUCAUUACCAAAUCUACACAUGACUUCAGCUCAUAUGUGGCAUGAAAAAUGGAACGAGGUGGUAGUAGUACUCGCACUUCCAGAAUAGUUCUUCCAACUGUCAAUAAUCAAGUGGAUGGAAUGUACAGCAUCAAAGCAUGUCAGGUAUUGUUGGACAAAAUGACCGAGUUAACAGAAGAGAUGUGUGUGAAGGCUCAACAAAAGAUACACAAGAGUGCUGCUUGGAGAAUAUCAUUUGUAGAAGUUGUUGCUGAAAAAAGGAUGUGGAUGAUUAGAGCAUUGAAGUAGGAUUUGGGAGUUUCUUGAAAA